CGUGUAGGCGGACUCGCAAGUCGGUUGUGAAAUCCCUGGGCUCAACCUAGGAACUGCAUCCGAAACUGCUUGUCUUGAGUAAUGGAGAGGGUGGCGGAAUUCCCGGUGUAGAGGUGAAAUUCGUAGAUAUCGGGAGGAACAUCAGUGGCGAAGGCGGCCACCUGGACAUUCACUGACGCUGAGACGCGAAAGCGUGGGGAGCAAACA
rnacentral:rRNA from 1 species